rnacentral:rRNA from 1 species
UACGGGGGGGGCAAGCGUUGUUCGGAAUUACUGGGCGUAAAGGGCUCGUAGGCGGCCAACUAAGUCGGAUGUGAAAUCCCCAGGCUUAACCUGGGAACUGCAUCCGAUACUGGAUGGCUUGAAUCCGGGAGAGGGAUGCAGAAUUCCAGGUGUAGCGGUGAAAUGCGUAGAGAUCGGGAGGAACAUCAGUGGCGAAGGCGGCCAUCUGGACCAGCACUGACACUGAGGCACGAAAGCGUGGGGAGCAAACAGG